UGAUGCCGUGAACCUGCUUUGGUCUGACUU
rnacentral:piRNA from 1 species